GGUCAUGGCUCAGUGGUAGACUGCUUGCCUGAUAUGUAUGAGCCACUGGGUUCAAUCCUCAGCACCA
rnacentral:tRNA from 1 species